GGAAGGGACCACAGCUCCGCCGGCGGGGGGUCCGCGGAAGGGACCACAGCUCCGCGGGCGGGGGGGGCCGCGGAAGGGACCACAGCUCCGCGGGCGGGGGGGGCCGCGGAAGGGACCACAGCUCCGCGGGAGGGGGGGCCGCGGGAGGGACCACAGCUCCGCGGGAGGGGGGGCCGCGGGAGGGACCACAGCUCCGCGGGAGGGGGGGGCCGCGGAAGGGACCAGAGCUCCGCGGGGCGGGGGGGGCCGCGGAAGGGACCACAGCUCCGCGGGCGGGGGGUGGCUCGGUGGACCGCGCCGGCUGUAGAACAGGCGGAAGGGCCCCGAGUGUGGCCGCUGUCCCCCCGCUCUGUGCGGAGUGGAAUGUCCCAGCUCCUUAAGGGCCCGGGCCGCGGCGGAAGCGGCCUCUUCUCCGCGGCUGCUGUGGGUUGGUGCGUCCCAAACCCUGGCGCCGGGAGCCGGUGGCGAGGGCAAGCGAGCUGGUGCCUUUGUCAGGUUUGGGAGAUGUUUCCGGGGAGCUUAACUGGAGGGCAGCGGGCGGCGCCCCGGCGGCUUCGGACGGGCGCCGUGCGGGGCGGCGCACGCAGCAGGGCCGCGGCGGCACGUGCUUGCCCCGCAGGCCCGCCGCCCCCGGAGCCUGAGGUCGCCGGAGGCCGGGACCCCUUGGCUCGUCGUUGGGAGUGAGCGAACCCGAGAGAACUCGCACACCCACGGAAGAGGGCCAGGAGGAGCGGCGCCGCCCUGCGGAAGUGCCGUCAGAAGCGAUAACUGACGAUAAUUCCGGGCUGACUGCAGUCAACACGUGCUCAGGUGGCUGGUGCCCAGGCGUCAGUUGGUCGGGACUGACCCUUGCUUUCUAUAUUCACCCAGGUUGCAAAUGAAUGAACUGUGAGGAGCUGAGGACGGCAGUGAGUCGCACUGGCUGGUCGUGGAGAGGCUGUGUCCUGAGGAAUGACCUGGGCAGGCCAAAGCUGGUGGUGGGCAGCAGCUCAGCUUACCCUGGAAGAGGCUGUUUUUCCAGAUGGUCAGCCAUGCUGCAGCAGAGGCAGAAUUUGAAGUUCCAAGGACCAGUAGUCGGUCAUCAAUUUGGACUCCAG